GUAACACGUAAACAACCUGCCUUCAGGAUGGGGACGAACAGACGGAAACGACUGCUAAUACCGAAUAAGUUCCAAGAGCCGCAUGGUCCAUGGAAGAAAAGGUGGCCCCUACCUGUAAGCUAUCGCCUGAAGAGGGGUUUGCGUCUGAUUAGCUGGUUGGAGGGGUAACGGCCCACCAAGGCGACGAUCAGUAGCCGGUCUGAGAGGAUGAACGGCCACACUGGAACUGAGACACGGUCCAGACUCCUACGGGAGGCAGCAUG
rnacentral:rRNA from 1 species